rnacentral:rRNA from 1 species
GGGGCCUGCGGAGGGAUCAUUACCGAGUUUACAACUCCCAAACCCCUGUGAACAUACCUAUACGUUGCCUCGGCGGAUCAGCCCGCGCCCCGUAAAACGGGACGGCCCGCCCGAGGACCCCUAAACUCUGUUUUUAGUGGAACUUCUGAGUAAAACAAACAAAUAAAUCAAAACUUUCAACAACGGAUCUCUUGGUUCUGGCAUCGAUGAAGAACGCAGCAAAAUGCGAUAAGUAAUGUGAAUUGCAGAAUUCAGUGAAUCAUCGAAUCUUUGAACGCACAUUGCGCCCGCCAGUAUUCUGGCGGGCAUGCCUGUUCGAGCGUCAUUUCAACCCUCAAGCUCAGCUUGGUGUUGGGACUCGCGGUAACCCGCGUUCCCCAAAUCGAUUGGCGGUCACGUCGAGCUUCCAUAGCGUAGUAAUCAUACACCUCGUUACUGGUAAUCGUCGCGGCCACGCCGUUAAACCCCAACUUCUGAAUGUGACCUCGGAUCAGGUAGUACCCCGUUCCC